rnacentral:rRNA from 1 species
UACGAGUUUGAUCCUGGCUCAGGAUAGAACGCUAGCGGCAGGCUUAACACAUGCAAGUCGAGGGGUAUAGUUCUUCGGAAUUAGAGACCGGCGCACGGGUGCGUAACGCGUAUGCAAUCUACCUUUCACAGAGGGAUAGCCCAGAGAAAUUUGGAUUAAUACCUCAUAGUAUAGCAGUUUCGCAUGAAACCACUAUUAAAGUCACAACGGUGAAAGAUGAGCAUGCGUCCCAUUAGCUAGUUGGUAAGGUAACGGCUUACCAAGGCAACGAUGGGUAGGGGUCCUGAGAGGGAGAUCCCCCACACUGGUACUGAGACACGGACCAGACUCCUACGGGAGGCAGCAGUGGGGAAUAUUGGACAAUGGGCGAAAGCCUGAUCCAGCCAUGCCGCGUGUGUGAAGAAGGUCUUCGGAUUGUAAAGCACUUUAAGUUGGGAGGAAGGGUAGUAACCUAAUACGUUGCUACUUUGACGUUACCGACAGAAUAAGCACCGGCUAACUUCGUG